rnacentral:rRNA from 1 species
AACGAACGCUGGCGGCAUGCCUAACACAUGCAAGUCGAACGAGACCUUCGGGUCUAGUGGCGCACGGGUGCGUAACGCGUGGGAAUCUGCCCUUUGCUUCGGAAUAACACAGAGAAAUUUGUGCUAAUACCGGAUAAUGUCGUAAGACCAAAGAUUUAUCGGCAAAGGAUGAGCCCGCGUAAGAUUAGCUAGUUGGUGGGGUAAUGGCCUACCAAGGCGACGAUCUUUAGCUGGUCUGAGAGGAUGAUCAGCCACACUGGGACUGAGACACGGCCCAGACUCCUACGGGAGGCAGCAGUGGGGAAUAUUGGACAAUGGGCGAAAGCCUGAUCCAGCAAUGCCGCGUGAGUGAUGAAGGCCCUAGGGUUGUAAAGCUCUUUUACCAGGGAUGAUAAUGACAGUACCUGGAGAAUAAGCUCCGGCUAACUCCGUGCCAGCCGCCGCCGUAA